rnacentral:lncRNA from 1 species
AGACGUCGGCUAUUUAGGGCCCCGACGUGUAUGUUAUUAUAGAAGUCGGUGGCCCAUACCAACAGUCGUGAACAUCCCUGACAGGAUAUCAAACGUCAAUCGGUUCAGCUUCCUAAACGUCGGUUCCCCCUGACAGAAACCGACGUCUAAUGGGUAUUCAAAAAGUCAGUUUUAAAUGUUCACUUGGACAUCACAUUAGUAGGAUAACCGCCGUUUAUAGACGUCGUUUUCUAGAGAAUAACCGACGCCCAAUUCCAUUUUAAAUACAACGCAACUCUUCGCGGCAUUCAGUUUCUGAUAUCGAUCGUCUUCCUCUUCUCCUUUUUCUCUUGCCACACCUCUUCUUUUUCUCUCUUUUUGGCAUUCUAUUGUUGUUUCUCGUCUUCCUCCUCUCCUUUUCCUCUCUU